rnacentral:rRNA from 1 species
AUUUAAGCAACUACACCUAAAAUUAUCUCUUAAUCCAACAUCGAGGCCGCAAUCUUUUUUAUCGAUAAGAACUCUCCAAAAAAAUUACGCUGUUAUCCCUAAAGUAACUUAAAUUCUUAAUCAUUAAUAAAGGAUCAAAAAUUCAUUAAUUAAUGAUUUUUAAAUUAAAAGUUAAUUAAAUUUUAAUAUCACCCCAAUAAAAUAUUUAUUAUUAUUAUAAUAAAAAAAAAAUCCACCAAUUUAUAAUAAUUUAAAUAUAAAGAUUUAUAGGGUCUUCUCGUCUUUUAAAAAAAUUUUAGCUUUUUGACUAAAAAAUAAAAUUCUAAUUAAAAUUUUUAUGAAACAGUUAAUAUUUCGUCCAACCAUUCAUACCAGCCUUCAAUUAAAAGACUAAUGAUUAUGCUACCUUUGCCAGUUAAAAUCUGCGGCCAUUAAAAUUCAGUGGGCAGGNCAGACUUUUAUAAAUCAAAAAGACUGUUUUG